rnacentral:rRNA from 1 species
AAAUUGAAGAGUUUGAUCAUGGCUCAGAUUGAACGCUGGCGGCAGGCCUAACACAUGCAAGUCGAACGGUAACAGGAAGCAGCUUGCUGCUUUGCUGACGAGUGGCGGACGGGUGAGUAAUGUCUGGGAAACUGCCUGAUGGAGGGGGAUAACUACUGGAAACGGUAGCUAAUACCGCAUAAUGUCGCAAGACCAAAGAGGGGGACCUUCGGGCCUCUUGCCAUCGGAUGUGCCCAGAUGGGAUUAGCUAGUAGGUGGGGUAAAGGCUCACCUAGGCGACGAUCCCUAGCUGGUCUGAGAGGAUGACCAGCCACACUGGAACUGAGACACGGUCCAGACUCCUACGGGAGGCAGCAGUGGGGAAUAUUGCACAAUGGGCGCAAGCCUGAUGCAGCCAUGCCGCGUGUAUGAAGAAGGCCUUCGGGUUGUAAAGUACUUUCAGCGGGGAGGG